rnacentral:rRNA from 1 species
AUUGAACGCUGGCGGCAGGCCUAACACAUGCAAGUCGAACGGUAGCACAGAGAGCUUGCUCUCGGGUGACGAGUGGCGGACGGGUGAGUAAUGUCUGGGAAACUGCCUGAUGGGAGGGGGAUAACUACUGGAAACGGUAGCUAAUACCGCAUAAUGUCGCAAAGACCGAAAGAGGGGGGACCCUUCGGGUCCGUCCUUGCCAUCAGACUGUGCCCGAGAUGGGAUUAG